AUUGAACGCUGGCGGCAGGCCUAACACAUGCAAGUCGAACGGUAACAGGAAGCAGCUUGCUGCUUUGCUGACGAGUGGCGGACGGGUGAGUAAUGUCUGGGAAACUGCCUGAUGGAGGGGGAUAACUACUGGAAACGGUAGCUAAUACCGCAUAACGUCGCAAGACCAAAGAGGGGGACCUUCGGGCCUCUUGCCUUCGGCUGUGCCCAGAUGGGAUUAGCUAGUAGGUGGGGUAACGGCUCACCUAGGCGACGAUCCCUAGCUGGUCUGAGAGGAUGACCAGCCACACUGGAACUGAGACACGGUCCAGACUCCUACGGGAGGCAGCAGUGGGGAAUAUUGCACAAUGGGCGCAAGCCUGAUGCAGCCAUGCCGCGUGUAUGAAGAAGGCCUUCGGGUUGUAAAGUACUUUCAGCGGGGAGGAAGGGAGUAAAGUUAAUACCUUUGCUCAUUGACGUUACCCGCAGAAGAAGCACCGGCUAACUCCGUG
rnacentral:rRNA from 1 species